AGAGAAUAGAUACCCUGGUAGUCCACGCCCUAAACGAUGGAUACUAGGCGUAGGAGGUAUCGACCCCUCCUGUGCCGCAGCAAACGCAUUAAGUAUCCCGCCUGGGGAGUACGGCCGCAAGGUUGAAACUCAAAUGAAUUGACGGGGGACCCGCACAAGCGGUGGAGCAUGUGGAUUAAUUCGAUACUAACCGAAGAACCUUACCCACUCUUGACAUUGAAGGAAAGCUCUAGAGAUAGGGCCCUCUCCCACAAGGAGACCUGAAAAACAGAUGUUGCAUGGCUGUCGUCAGCUCGUGCCGUGAGGUGUACGGUUAAGUCCGCCAACGAGCGCAACCCUCGUUCUGUGUUACCAGCGAGUAAAGUCGGGCACUCACAGGAGACCGCCGGUGUAAGCCGGAGGAAGGUGGGGAUGAUGUCAAGUCAGCAUGGCUCUUACGAGUGGGGCUUCACACAUGCUACAAUGGGCGCAACAAAGGGCCGCGAUACCGUGAGGUGGAGCAAAUCCCAAAAAUACGUCCUCAGUUCAGAUUGC
rnacentral:rRNA from 1 species